UACGUAGGUGGCAAGCGUUGUCCGGAUUUACUGGGCGUAAAGAGCGCGCAGGCGGUCGAUUUAGUCGCGUGUGAAAGCCCCCGGCUCAACUGGGGAGGGUCACGCGAUACUGAUCGACUCGAAGGCAGGAGAGGGUAGUGGAAUUCCCGGUGUAGUGGUGAAAUGCGUAGAUAUCGAGAGGAACACCUGCGGCGAAGGCGGGUUGCUGGGCUGACACUGACGCUGAGGCGCGAAAGCUAGGGGAGCGAACGGG
rnacentral:rRNA from 1 species